CCCCCCCCCCCCUUUGGGGGGGCCCCCUUUUUUUCUUAAAAGGGGGGGCCCCCCCCCCGGGGGGGGGGAAAAAAAAAAAAACCCAAAACCCCCCCCCCUUUUUUGGGGGGGCCAAAGGGAAAAAGG